ensembl:lncRNA
AUGAUUCCGGUGGACUUAACCUCGUUUUUUUUUUUUUUUGCAUCCGUGACCGAUUCAAUAUCAUCUUUGAUCAGGAAAGUGAGACGCAGGAGGAGAGGUAAACGAGCGGGCGCGCUCGUGCGUCUGAGGAGACAGGGACUGCGCACGGCUCUACCUGGGAUCUUCCUCUCUAAUGUGCGCUCACUCCGCAACAAAAUGGACGAGCUGACCCUGAUGAGGAACAUGAACAGAGACUUCUCAUCUGGGGUUCUAUGCUUCAUUGAAACAUGGCUCAGUGAGGACACCCCCGACUGCGCGCUCCAUCUGGAGGGGUUUCACCUCAUCCGCGCAGAUCGGGAAGCGGCUCUCUCCAGCAAGACCACAGGUGGAGGUGUGUGUUUUUACAUCAAUAAUGGUUGGUGCACAGAUGUCACAGUAAUCGUGCAGCAUUGUUCUCCAUCUCUGGAAUAUCUUUUCACAAACUGUAAACCAUUUUACUCUCCGCGGGAGUUCGCCUCAUUCAUUCUAGGUGCUGUUUACAUCCCACCUGACGUGGACGUGCACGAGGCUCAGCGUGCGCUCGCGGAAGAGAUACUGUGCAUGGAGCGGACGUACCCGGACUCCCUCAUCAUUGUACUUGGAUACUUUAACAAAGCAAAUCUGAGCCAGGGGCUUCCCAAAUAUAAACAGUAUAUCAAAUGUCCAACCAGUGAGGAGAAAACCCUGGACCACUGUUACAGCACAGUAACAGGAGCCUAUCAUGCAGUGGCGCGCGCUGCGCUUGGACUCUCUGACCACGUGACCAUCCAUCUGAUCCCAGCUUACAAACAAAGGCUAAAACUCUCCAAGCCUGUUGUGAAGUCAACAAGACAGUGGAACACAGAUGCCGCAGAUGAGCUUCGCGCAUGCUUUGAGACCACAGACUGGGAGGUAAUGAAGGCCACCUCAGACAGUUUAGAUGAGUUCACAGAUACCGUCACCUCCUACAUCCACUUCUGUCAGGACAGCAUCAUACCAUCACACACCAGGGUGAGUUAUAACAAUGACAAAGCCUGGUUUACCCCUAAACUCAAACAGCUGUGGUUUGAAAAGAGAGAUGCAUUUAAAAGGGGGGACAAGGACUCCUACAGAGACACUAGAUACAGGUUCAGCAAAGAAUUGGUCAAAGCAAAACACCAGCAUCAUGACAAAAUGCAGCAGCAAAUCUCUGAAAACGACCCAACCUCUGUGUGGAAAAGUUUCAGGAACAUCACCAACUACAAACCCAGAACCCCCGCCUCCACUGAUAAUCUGUUCUUGGCAAACAACCUAAACAAUUUCUAUCGUCGGUUUGAUGAGCCAUCAGGCAUGCCUCACUCCUCGUCCAGCCCCAACAAUAGAGACAUUGGUCAGCCACUCCCCACUACAGAGCCAUCACCAUCACUGUGGAAUUUACCUUCAUCACCCUCCCUCUCACUCCCUACUCAUGAGGUCUUCACAUCACACACCUCCACCACAAACCUACACAUUCAUGAAGCAGAUGUAAAGAAGCAGUUUAGGUCUCUUAACACACGAAAAGCCCCGGGCCCUGAUGGCGUGGCUCCUGCCACUCUACAGCACUGUGCUGAAGAGCUGGCCCCAGUGCUUACGAGCAUCUUCAACUCCUCACUGGAGGAAUCUCAUGUGCCUGCCUGCUUCAAGAUCUCCACCAUAGUCCCUGUCCCCAAGAAACCUAGAAUCACUGGACUAAAUGACUACAGACCUGUGGCUCUGACAUCUGUGGUCAUGAAGUCAUUUGAGCAACUAGUUCUCCCCCACCUCAAGACCCUCACAGCCCCCCUCCUGGACCCCCUGCAGUUUGCCUACAGAGCAAACAGGUCUGUAGAUGACACAAUCAACAUGGCUCUACAAUUCAUCCUGCAGCAUCUGGACUCCCCAGGUACCUACGCCAGGAUAUUGUUCGUGGACUUCAGCUCUGCAUUUCAACACAAUCCUGCCAGACCUCGUCCAAGACAAAAUGUCCCAGAUGAACGUGCCUGA